UAAGCAUUUAAAUCUAAUUGUUGCAAUUGAGACUACACUAGAAGGCUCAACUGCAGUGCAGCAAUUAGAAUUAUGCUUAAAUUAGCCAUUAUUCCAAUUACAGCAGUUGGAGAGUUAUUUUAGAUAAAAGGUUUGCUCACCUUUCUAAUCUCCUUUUAUUCAGAAAACUAUGUUUUUCUCUACAUUGGGAGCGGGUUUGGUUUGCACCUUUUCACUAUGGAAUCAUAAUCGAAAUGAACAAAUCUGUUUGUCCGUAUUUGGUACGAUUCCGAUUUUUGAAUGAAUAGAAAUCCCUGACAAUUACCAUUUUUUUCAAUCCGGCCAAGAAAGUCGGUUUGAAAAUUGAAUCUGGGCAGAAUGGAUUUGUUCAUAUUAAAUUUAACUUUUUUAAUCUCAUUUUUUUAAUUAAAAUAUAAGUUUAAGUUUAAAAAUUAUAUUUAUAAAUUUAAAUUUUAAUCUAAACUUAAAUAAAUUUAAAAUUAAAAUUCAAUCAAGCAUUUCGAAUCUAAUUUAUAAAUUUAAAUUUAAUUUAAAAUCUAAAGUUUUAUUCAAAUUUUAUUUAACAUUUAAAUUAAAUUUAUGGAUUGAAAUUGAAAUUUAAAUUUAAAUUAUAAUUUUAAGUUGGAAUUUGAACAAAUCGAAAUUUAGUUUUAUAUUUUAAAUUAUCUGCUAAAUUUCAAAUUUUAUUUUUAAAAAAAAUAUAUUUAAAAUUUUGACAUCAUUUUAAAAUUUAGAUGUAAAUUUUUAAUAUUUAAUUUUUAGUUUGAAUUUAAACUAAUAUAUUAUAAAAAUAAAUUGGUAUAUUAAUUUGAUUAUGUUUCUUAUAUCUACCUGAACCAAAUACUGACAAUGAAAAUAGUUCAUUUCGAUUCCGAUUCAGAUGGUGAACCAAACAAAAAGUAGUAAUGAAUCAUUCUGAUUCUGUUUCCAACUUAUUCUCAUUUCGAUUAUCAUACCGAUUCCAACUUCGAACCAAACACACCCUGGGUGUCAUCUUGCCAUCUGUAAAUAAAGUAUAAAAUCGUCACACCCUGAGUCCAUAUCU
rnacentral:lncRNA from 1 species